rnacentral:rRNA from 1 species
AUGACUACCUGCUUCUCGGACAUUAUCAAAGAUCAUUCCCUUGAUUUCAUAGGCUUACAAGAAACCAAAAAAGAGAUUCCUCCUAAAUUCUUACGCAAGAUUGACCCCUAUGAUAGGUUUGCUUGGAACUGGGUACCCUCUAUUGGCAAAUCUGGUGGCAUCCUUUGUGGUGUUAAAAGAGAAACUCUGGAAGUGGUUUCAUGGACGGUGGGUAGAUUUUGUUUGCGAACUAUCCUUUUUGAUAUAAACCUGAAAUGUGUGUGGGCACUUAUAGUUGUAUAUGGUGCGGCGCAAGAUGAUAAGAAAGAUGACUUCCUUUGUGAACUUGCAUCCAUGUGUUCACAUCUCCAGGUUCCUUACAUUGUGGGAGGGGAUUUUAAUAUUCUUUGUGAAAGCUGUGAGAAAAAUAAGAACUUAAAUCGGUCUCCUUACAUGGAUAAAUUCAAUUCCAUCAUCCAAUCUCUGAACCUGCGUGAGAUAUAUAUGGGAGGGGGAAAGUAUACCUGGUCCAACCACCAGAGACAUCCUACCUUAGAAAAGCUCGAUAGAGUCCUUAUGAGUUUUGAAUGGGAAGACCUCUUUUCCCUGGUCACUGUCCGGAAGCUGGUACGGGAUGUGUCAGACCAUAACCCUCUCCUACUGUCUUCUAACUCAAAUGUUUCAAAACCCACUCGACAACGUGAGUUCAGAUUUGAACUCAGUUGGCUUAAAAAUGAAGAUUUCUAUCCCAUAGCUAAGAAGUUAUGGGAACAACCAGUUGCCUCUGAUGAUCCCAUUGACAUCCUAAACAUCAAGCUCAAAAGGCUGAAAACGUACUUCAAAGGGUGGGGCUCCCAUUUGUUUGGCCAUGCGAAGAAAAGAAAAAAAUAUAUUCAAAAAGAGCUAGAAGAGAUUGAGACCUUAGAAGAAGAGGGCCCCCCUUGA